rnacentral:rRNA from 1 species
GACGAACGCGGCGGCGUGCUUAACACAUGCAAGUCGAACGAAGAGCGAUGGAAGCUUGCUUCUAUCAAUCUUAGUGGCGAACGGGUGAGUAACGCGUAAUCAACCUGCCCUUCAGAGGGGGACAACAGUUGGAAACGACUGCUAAUACCGCAUACGAUCUAAUCUCGGCAUCGAGGAUAGAUGAAAGGUGGCCUCUACAUGUAAGCUAUCACUGAAGGAGGGGAUUGCGUCUGAUUAGCUAGUUGGAGGGGUAACGGCCCACCAAGGCGAUGAUCAGUAGCCGGUCUGAGAGGAUGAACGGCCACAUUGGGACUGAGACACGGCCCAGACUCCUACGGGAGGCAGCAGUGGGGAAUCUUCCGCAAUGGACGAAAGUCUGACGGAGCAACGCCGCGUGAGUGAUGACGGGCCUUUCGGG